rnacentral:lncRNA from 1 species
GCACAACGUCGAAAGCAGCCGUUGGGAGCCCAGGAGGCGGGGCGCCUGUGGGAGCCGUGGAGGGAACUUUCCCAGUCCCCGAGGCGGAUCCGGUGUUGCAUCCUUGGAGCGAGCUGAGAGCUCGAGUACAGAACCUGCUAAGGCCAUCAAACCUAUUGAUCGGAAGUCAGUCCAUCAGAUUUGCUCUGGGCCGGUGGUACCGAGUCUAAGCACUGCGGUGAAGGAGUUAGUAGAAAACAGUCUGGAUGCUGGUGCCACUAAUAUUGCUCUGAAACAUCACACAUCUAAGAUUCAAGAGUUUGCCGACCUACCUCAGGUUGAAACUUUUGGCUUUCGGGGGGAAGCUCUGAGCUCACUUUGUGCACUGAGUGAUGUCACCAUUUCUACCUGCCAUGUAUCGGCGAAGGUUGGGACUCGACUGGUGUUUGAUCACUAUGGGAAAAUCAUCCAGAAAACCCCCUACCCCCACCCCAGAGGGAUGACAGUCAGUGUGAAGCAGUUAUUUUCUACGCUACCUGUGCACCAUAAAGAAUUUCAAAGGAAUAUUAAGAAGAAACGUGCCUGCUUCCCCUUCGCCUUCUGCCGUGAUUGUCAGUUUCCUGAGGCCUCCCCAGCCAUGCUUCCUGUACAGCCUGCAGAACUGACUCCUAGAAGUACCCCACCCCACCCCUGCUCCUUGGAGGACAACGUGAUCACUGUAUUCAGCUCUGUCAAGAAUGGUCCAGGUUCUUCUAGAUGAUCUGCACAAAUGGCUCCUCUCCUCCUUCCUGAUGUCUGCCAUUAGCACUGGAAUAAAGUUCCUGCUGAAAAUCCA